AAAACAAUUCUUUAAAAGAAAAAGAAGAAAAAAAAAAAAAAAAAAAACGCGGCACUGAGAAGUUUUCAUUGUGCCUGCUUUGGUUGACCAGAAGAGGAGCAUCAACAUCCAAAGAACGAUAGGUGUGGCCUGAUGGGAAGCUUGGUGGCUUCUGGUCCUUUCCUCUCUGCCUCUUACUGCCGAAAUGCUGCAUUAACCUCCUGUAGUUUGGUUCUCACCUUGACAUUACUGCAGUGCUUCUCCUGUAAAGCACUUUUGUGUGACA